rnacentral:rRNA from 1 species
UACGUAGGUGGCAAGCGUUGUCCGGAUUUAUUGGGUUUAAAGGGUGCGUAGGCGGUCUAUUAAGUCAGUGGUGAAAUACGGCAGCUUAACUGUCGAGGUGCCAUUGAUACUGGUAGACUUGAGUACUGAUGAGGUAGGCGGAAUGGACGGUGUAGCGGUGAAAUGCUUAGAGAUCGUCCAGAACACCGAUAGCGAAGGCAGCUUACUAAAGAGUAACUGACGCUGAGGCACGAAAGUGUGGGGAUCAAACAGG